rnacentral:rRNA from 1 species
AUGCCGCGUGUGUGAAGAAGGCCUUCGGGUUGUAAAGCUCUUUCGGCCGGAACGAAAUCGCGCGGUUCAAUACCCCGCGUGGAUGACGGUACCGGAAGAAGAAGCACCGGCUAACUACGUGCCAGCAGCCGCGGUAAUACGUAAGGUGCUAGCGUUAAUCGUAAUUACUGGGCGUAACGUGUGCGCAGGCGGCCGCGCAAGUCGAGUGUGAACUCCCCGAGCUUAACUUGGGAAUUGCGCUCGAAACUACUUGGCUCGAGUGUGGCAGAGGAAGGUGGAAUUCCACGUGUAGCGGUGAAAUGCGUAAAGAUGUGGAGGAACACCGAUGGCGAAGGCCUCCUUCUGGGCCGACACUGACGCUCAUGCACGAAAGCGUGGGGAGCAAACAGGAUUACAUACCCUGGUAGUCCACGCCCUAAACGAUGAUGACUAGUUGUUGGGGGAGUUAAAUCCCUUACUAACGCAGCUAACGCGUGAAGUCAUCCGCCUGGG